GGGAACCCCGAGUGUAUGCACAAUGUGUAUACUGUCCUCAACGGUCCAUUUGUUGAGAAGAAAGUGCUGGGUAAGACGGGUGCCAGCCGCCGCGGUAAUACCCGCAGCACGAGUGGUGGUCAUUUUUAUUGGGCCUAAAGCGUCCGUAGCCGGUUUGGUAAAUGCCUGGGUAAAUCGAUGCGCUCAACGUAUCGAAUUCCGGGUAGACUGCCAGACUAGAGAUCGGGAGAGGUGUGGGGUACUCGAGGGGUAGGGGUAAAAUCCUGUAAUCCUUCGGGGACCACCAGUGGCGAAGGCGCCACACUAGAACGGUUCUGACGGUGAGGGACGAAGCCCUGGGGCGCAAACCGGAUUAGAUACCCGGGUAGUCCAGGGUGUAAACGCUGCUGACUUGGUGUCGGAGGUCCUACGAGGGCUUUCGGUGCCGGAGAGAAGUUGUUAAGUCAGCCGCCUGGGGAGUACGAUCGCAAGAUUGAAACUUAAAGGAAUUGGCGGGGGAGCACUGCAACGCGUGGAGUGUGCGGUUUAAUUGGAUUCAACGCCGGGAAACUCACCAGUGAAGACCUAGGCAUGUGACUCACUCUAAAGGGGUUAGUCGAAUAUACUAGGAGAGGUGGUGCAUGGCCGUCGUCAGCUCGUACCGUAAGGCGUUCUGUUAAGUCAGAUAACGAACGAGACCUCAGCC
rnacentral:rRNA from 1 species